GCGUCACGUGACCGCCGGGGCCCUUCGUCACGUGAACUUCCAGAAAGCUUAAAGUGGAAUGUGGCAGAAGAGAUGUUACGCGAUUCCAAAGCCAGAGACACUGCAGCUUCUGCUUUCACUCUCUUAUCUUACGAUGCUGCCCUGAGAACAGGAGGUCACAGGUACAAGAACCAAGGCUCCCAAAGGACAGCCAGCACCAACUGCCAGACGUGAAUCUUCUCCAGACUAAAGGACAAAUACCAGCGAGGAGUUUAGGACAACAUUCCAGAGCACACCUUGAGCCAUUCUGCUGGGCGCAGGUUGUAAAGGAAGCCCCACAAAGACAAUUUUCAAGAGUGUUGAGGUCCUGUAACCAAAAUGUUCAAGAACUGGAUGAGAGAAGAAACGGUAUAGCAGAAGAGGCUGACAUCUCGCUUUACUUGCAUUUUCUUGUGGCCCUCUUCAUGUUUGC